UACGGAGGGGGCUAGCGUUGUUCGGAAUUACUGGGCGUAAAGCGCACGUAGGCGGCUUUGUAAGUCUGACGUGAAAGCCCCGGGCUUAACCUGGGAAUUGCGUUGGAGACUGCAAGGCUUGAAUCUGGCAGAGGGGGGUAGAAUUCCACGUGUAGCAGUGAAAUGCGUAGAGAUGUGGAGGAACACCGAUGGCGAAGGCAGCCCCCUGGGUCAAGAUUGACGCUCAUGCACGAAAGCGUGGGGAGCAAACAGG
rnacentral:rRNA from 1 species